UACAGAGGUGGCAAGCGUUGUUCGGAAUUACUGGGCGUAAAGGGCGCGUAGGCGGCCUUCUAAGUCAGACGUGAAAUCCCCCGGCUUAACCUGGGAACUGCGUCUGAUACUGGAGGGCUUGAGUAUGGGAGAGGGAUGUAGAAUUCCAGGUGUAGCGGUGAAAUGCGUAGAUAUCUGGAGGAAUACCGGUGGCGAAGGCGGCAUCCUGGACCGGCAUUGACGCUGAGUGAGCGAAAGCCAGGGGAGCAAACGGG
rnacentral:rRNA from 1 species